GUGCCAGCCGCUCGGUAAUACCGGCAGCCCGAGUGAUGGCCGAUAUUAUUGGACCUAAAGCGUUCGUAGCCGGCCAGACAAGUCUGUUGGGAAAUCCACGCGCUCAACGCGUGGGCGUCCAGCGGAAACUGUGUGGCUUGGGGCCGGAGGACUCGAGGGGUACGUCCGGGGUAGGAGUGAAAUCCUGUAAUCCUGGACGGACCGCCGGUGGCGAAAGCGCCUCGGGAGGACGGACCCGACGGUGAGGGACGAAAGCCAGGGUCUCGAACCGGAUUAGAAACCCUGGUAGUCC
rnacentral:rRNA from 1 species